rnacentral:rRNA from 1 species
GACGAACGCUGGCGGCGCGCCUAACACAUGCAAGUCGAACGAGCGAGAGGAGGUUUACUUUCUCAAGCGAGUGGCGAACGGGUGAGUAACGCGUGAGGAACCUGCCUCAAAGAGGGGGACAACAGUUGGAAACGACUGCUAAUACCGCAUAAGCCCACGACCCGGCAUCGGGUAGAGGGAAAAGGAGCAAUCCGCUUUGAGAUGGCCUCGCGUCCGAUUAGCUAGUUGGUGAGGUAAUGGCCCACCAAGGCGACGAUCGGUAGCCGGACUGAGAGGUUGAACGGCCACAUUGGGACUGAGACACGGCCCAGACUCCUACGGGAGGCAGCAGUGGGGAAUAUUGCACAAUGGGGGAAACCCUGAUGCAGCAACGCCGCGUGGAGGAAGAAGGUCUUCGGAUUGUAAACUCCUGUUGUUGAGGAAGAUAAUGACGGUACUCAACAAGGAAGUGACGGCUAACUACGUG